CUGGUGGUCUAGUGGUUAGGACUCUGCACUUUCAUUGCUGAGGGCCCAGGUUCAAUUCCUGGCCGG
rnacentral:tRNA from 1 species